CAUAGCGACUAUCGUGGCAUAUCAAUAAGCGGAGGAAAAGAAACUAACAAGGAUUCCCUUAGUAACGGCGAGUGAAGCGGGAAGAGCUCAGAUUUGAAAUCUUCAAGGUUCUACCUUGACGAAUUGUAGUUUAUAGAAGUGUUUUCUGUUAGUAGAGUGGCAAAAGUUCUUUGGAAUAGGACAUCAUAGAGGGUGAGAAUCCCGUAUUUGGUCAUUCUUUCUAGCUUUGUGAUACACUUUCAACGAGUCGGAUUGUUUGGGAAUGCAGUCCAAAAUGGGUGGUAAAUUUCAUCUAAAGCUAAAUAUUGGCGAGAGACCGAUAGCGAACAAGUACCGUGAGGGAAAGAUGAAAAGAACUUUGAAAAGAGAGUUAAACAGUACGUGAAAUUGUCAAAAGGGAAGCGUUUGACACCAGUGUUGUUUUUCCGAAAAUCAAUUACGAAUGUUUUAUUUUUGAGAAGUUAUGACUUCAUCGGCUUGCUUCUCUCUUUAUGAAACUUUCUUAAUGCACUUUUCGGUUAACAAGUCAACAUCAAUUUCUUUUGUUGUAAAAGGGUAUGAGGAAGGUGGCUUUCUUUUCGGAGAAAGUGUUUAUAGCCUUGUACCUCUGCAAUCGGAGAGAUUGAGGUCUGCAGCGUAGAUCCUUCGGGGUUAGAUACAUUUGUGCUAAGUUAUAGCUUUUCAUAGACAACUUGUUGACUAUGUUUAGUCUUGUAGCUUACUCGCUUAUGCUAUUUUACCUACGCUUAGGAUGUUGAUAGUCACAGCGUGUAC
rnacentral:rRNA from 1 species